CACGUAGGGGGCAAGCGUUGUCCGGAUUUAUUGGGCGUAAAGAGCUCGUAGGCGGCUUGUUGCGUCGACUGUGAAAGCCCGUGGCUUAACCGCGUGGUCUGCAGUCGAUACGGGCAGGCUAGAGUUCGGUAGGGGAGACUGGAAUUCCUGGUGUAGCGGUGAAAUGCGCAGAUAUCAGGAGGAACACCGGUGGCGAAGGCGGGUCUCUGGGCCGAUACUGACGCUGAGGAGCGAAAGCGUGGGGAGCAAACAGG
rnacentral:rRNA from 1 species